rnacentral:RNase_P_RNA from 1 species
GCGGAUGGCCGGAUGACCGCGGGGCGAAAGCUUCGAGGAAAGUCCGGACUCCAUGAAGCAAGGGUGCCGGGUAACGCCCGGCGGGGGCGACCCCAGGGAAAGCGCCACAGAGAAGAGUCUGCCCGGGUUCGCCCGGGUGAUGGUGAAACGGUGGGGUAAGAGCCCACCGCGGACCGGGCAACCGGGACGGCACGGCAAGCCCCACCCGGAGCAAUGCCGAAUAGGGGCCUCGCGCGGAAAGGUCUGCCUCUGGCAGAGACCUCCGCAGGGACGCUUCAGCCCAGAGGCCCGGGUUGGCAGCUUGACCGCCGUGGUGACACGGUCGGCAGAGGAAUGGUCAUCCAGGGGGGCAACCCCCGGACAGAAUCCGGCUUAUAGGCCAUCCGCGCGU